UCUCUGGUUCCUUACUGCACCGCUCAACUAGGUCAACGCAAGGUGAUCUCCGGGAGAGAGGCAGUGCUCUGAGCGCGCCACCUUUUACGUGUCGCGCCGUCGUCCCUCCUUCCCUCGCCCCGCACCCUCGCCUCGCCCUUUCGGACUGUCCGGGAACUGGUUCCCUCCAGCCGCCCUCACCUGUUCUGCCUCCCCCUGGAGGCAUAACAGUUAGAGAGAUCAGUCGUGGGAGAUUAGAUUUCUCGGCGUCAAACUUCCAUCUAGGCAACCGCCCUAGGCUGGAGCUGGCCUCUCAGUCGACCUUACCUUUGUUGGAGGGUGGUGGUGUGCGGGGGGGCAGGCGUGGAGAUUGUGAGGAACGGGAGAGGCGAGCUGAGAGAAGGGGCGAGAGGCUACAGUAACUUAGAAAAAGCAAUUGGAGGGGUCAAAGAAGGCGUAUUUGACAUUAGUGUUGCUAUAAAAACCUGUUUACUACUACUUCUCGUCCCCCGGACUUCUGUUUGGUCUGAGUGCAGCUCUCCUCUCGGAGACACUGAGUCAGUACAUUGCUGGUCUUGCCCUCUUUUGGAAAAAGAAAAUAGCCUUGAGGAUUCGUAGUCCCUAUCCAAACCUCCUGGGGCCUUUUAAACCAGGUGCCAAGCUGAAUUGUCCACCGCACCACCUUGCCCGCAGGAGGCAAGCUGUUUAGGGGAAGCAUGGCGUGUGCUGGGCGCUGACAGCGACUUCGUGUGACUCUGAAGGGCACGCUGGAAAGUUUCCUAGAUUGAAGAUAACUCCUCUCCAAGUGCUAUAUAUAAUCCAGCGUCUCCAUCACCUCCUGGCCAGCCCUCAGGAUGAAGUCCAAGUUCUCCACUAUAUGAUAAAAGAAAAUGAUGAUCAGAAAAGUUACAUGACUGGCCCAAGGUCACAAUAAAGAUAUCUCAACCUCAGUGUGUCCAACAUGGAGUCUCUGAUCUCCACUGCCUCCCAGACUGCUUC
rnacentral:lncRNA from 1 species